GGAUCCUAGGUGGCUUCAUCUGGAGGCUCCACCUAGGAUCCUAGGUGGCUUCAUCUGGAGGCUUCAAAAGGAGUCUCCAAUUAGUAAUAGUAAGAUAAGAUAUUUUGUGUGUAAUUGACUGUAAGUGCAUAGAUCACUCCGAGUCCAAACCCAGUUCCCUGUUAGUACGGAGCCAACCAUGGAUCAUGGUCUUGUUGCAAAUAUGUUCACAAAAACAGAAAGUGCUGUCUUCUUUUUUUGUGAAAUAGAAAGUGUUGUCAACUACAGAUACAACAAUUUUUAAUAGUUUGGAACUUAGAAGACUCCAAUUCCCACAUCAAAAUUUUUAUGUAUAUUAUAAGACAAAAUAUUAUUAAAAUAUCAUUAGUGAUGUAAUAAAUCAUAACAAAAAUGAUUAUAUUUGUAAAAGAAAGUUGAAUAAGACCAGUCAAACGCAGUUUCUAAGGAUCAAAAAAAAUUACGGUUUUUUUGGGACGGAGGGAGUAGGUUGUAGCCAGAGCCAAGGAGUCUUCCAGAUUUAACCCAAUCAAUCUACUAUAUACUACUAUCUAAAGUCGUGUUUACCACUCCAGUGAAGUGAAUCUGCCUCCCUGUGGUUCUGCCCCCCGCUCCGUGGCUCUGCCUUCCCUCCCCGCGCGCCCCACGUCUCCCUCGCUCGCGAGCAGUUUCCAGCUCCAGCCGCUACCUUCCACCUCCCUCGCACCGCUCUCGCCUCUACCUCAAGCCCCCUCGCCCUCGCCCUCGCUCCCGCGGCGGUCGCCAUCUCCGCCGCGCUCGACGUCCCCGCCACGCGGCCGUCCUCCCAGCGCGGAUUGGGAACCCUCCGCGCCGCCGGAGCCCCGCCCUUGUGCAUCGCCUCUGCUGCGGAUCAGCGACCCCUCCCCGCGCUUGGCCGCGGUUGCUGGACGCCUCCUCGACGCAGCCCGUCAAGCCUUCCCGAAAGAGCCAAGGAGGGCGGAGACGAGGAGCGAGCCGGCGUCUGGCAAGGAAGGCGCGGCAUCCUCGGAUCCACCAUCGCCCUCGAGGCCGAUACGGCAGCGGCCAAGGUGCGGAGACGUCGUUGCAGGCAGCGUGGUGGAUAGAGACGCCUAGGCAAAGGGAAGACAGUGGCCUGCACGGCGGCGAGCAACACCAGCACGCCAUCACCAGGUACGCAGUGACGCAUUCCUCCCUGCCGAGCACGCCAGCAACGCUGCCCUUCCCCUCCGCGCCCCACAAUGCCGAUCACGGCACUGUGCUGGAGGUCUUCACCACGUUGCCCACCAAGUGCUCGACAGAAUGCAUCAGCCAGAUAUUUUAGGGACCGAAGCAUGUUUAUGCAAGAGCUCAAAAGGUAAUGCCCUAUUAGCUCAGAAAACAUGUGUUUAACCAUAUUGAUGAUUGCUAGAAAUAUGACAUCGUAAUCAAUGUUCUAAGCUACCAUGUAUGCUGCAUCAGAAUCAAAUAGGCAUCAAGCUUUGAUUCUAUUAUGAUUGUUAGGAGGUAAAGUCCUCAAGAUGGAAAUAUGGUUAAACAUGUUGUAUUAUGAUAGUAAACAGCAGAUGGUUUGAAGUUCUUCCUUCAGGCUUCAGCUAAGUGCUGGUUACAUAGCCCAAUUUAACUCCUAUAAAUGGAUUUGAAGUUAAAAAUGAAUAGUACCAGACUACCAGUUCGGUUUAACUUAUUUUCAGUUCUAUAGAUGAACCAACUAUAGAACAUGAAUUCUUUUCUGUUCUAUAUAUAAUCCAACUAACAUCUCAUGGUGCACUUAGCUUUUUGUAUAUGGAAAAAUUGUUCACCCCACUCCAUCUUCCAAUUUUUAUAAUAUAACCCAGAUUAACCUAUACUUGGGGAUCGGACUAUAAAACUCUGAUGUGGUAUGGUAGCUGAGUACUUUUGUGGCAUAAAUUAUUGAUAGGAUCAUUGUCAUAUUGGCAAAUUUGAUAAAAUUGUUGAGAACUUGAGUGGUAAGGUCCCAGCUGAAACAACAUUGUGAGAAGUACAUUUGGCGAUUUGAUCUUUAGGCUUCAGCUAACUGCUGGUUAUAUAGCCCAAUUCAAGCAUCACGAUCGUCCGAGGAGUCGUGAUUUAUUAUAGACCCCAGAUAAAUCAUGCAUGGAGACACUACAAGAAUCAGGAACUUAACUUAGCAGUUAAUUUCAUUGCUAUAAUUUGCAGAAUUAUUUUUUUUAAUUUACUCCCAGUCCAUGUUGAUCAUGAUUUUUAUAGGUAUCAAAACAUGAGUCCCUCUCCACUGCGUCUGGUCCCACGCACGGCCUCCCCCUCUCCGCUGCUUUCCCCGCCACCCCCUGUGCCACCUACGUCUUCAUCUGGUCCGCCAAUGCCAUUGCCAAGCUCCCCAUCGACCUGGCCACGCGCAUGCUCUACAGAUGCUACCUACCUCAUGUGAAGAAGCAGCCACAGAGUUUGAGCAAACUGAAUGAUCCUUCCUUCUAACUGGGAGAAGCAGAUGCUGAAAGGGAAGCUUGCUGUUCAGAAGAUGGUUGUCAACCUGAUGGACAGUGUUUGCGAAGGAUGAGACAGAGAAUACCUCCAUACCCAAAGCCUGUGUCAGGUCUUCUUGAAUCAAAUGUUAUUCUUAUAAAAAAUGUUGUUUACAUUCCUUAUAUUUCGUAUAUUGUACAACAAAGAAUUGCACUUUUCCUUUCAGUGAAAUAGAUGAUAGCUAGACAAACUUGCAGUUACCGUUUCACUAAAAUAGAUAGACAAAAGAUAGAUCAACUAAUACCCUGAUGGUUGAUGUUGGGUAUUUGAUACCUUAAAUCCUGUUCUACAUUGCAUGAUGUUUUUCAAAAACAAUCAUAUCAUACCUGGUAGAUGCUUAAAUCAUGGGUGAAAUGUAUGGCAAAUUUACAUGAGGUUGCUUUAUGCCCUGAGAAUCUGUAGCUAGAUUGCUUCUUGACUUCUGGCAUUAACUUUUUCCGUGUUGAAUCCCUUUACACCUAUUCAAAAUUGAAACUGCUUAUUCAUCCUAUGUUAGAUAUCUGUUAGGUUGUUACGACAUGUACUACUGAUCAUAUAUCAUUUUGUUAGAAUAAGGAGGAUGUGCUUACAACAUGGAUGACGUGAGGAUAAUUCUUUUUAUUUAUCAAGCUUUGGGUUUCCUUCGGCCAUCUCAAAAUCCUGGAUAUGACAUCUCCAUUUUUCUUUCAUGUUUUGGGUACACAACUUGAGGAUUGUUUCUUGAAAGCACUUGAUUAGAAGUGGUUCACAUCUGCCCAAGAAGCUGCAGAGGUAUGCAUCCAAAUAUUUCCACCUAUUAUCUUCCUGCAUUUCUAAUAUGCUUUUCUGUACUUAGAUGGUCAUGUCCUGGCAUGCUACUACGAGAUGAUUGUUUCAACAUGCAAUUUUCCAAUUUUUUAAUUGCUCUUUAGAGCUACUUAUACUACUGCUUUAAAACUGAUUUGACUUUGGAUAUGGUGCUGAGGAUUUCAAAAUGAUGGCCAAGAGUGCUCGACUUCAGCAAUCAGGUUGUGCCUAUCUGUGUUGUUCCAUAAAUCUAAUAAGAUAAAGCUUUGAUAGUUGUGCCUAUACAUACUUGUAAUUUUUUAGUCAAUAAAUCAAUGAAUCUAUUUUGUGUGAAUAUUUCACACUACGGGAAGUAGGAUGUCCUCCCUCAGCAGUCAUUCAACAAUUUUGUGGGAGGCAGUGAGGAAGUCAUUUGAAGAAAGAUGCAUCACUGUCUAUUUUGCCAAACAUGUCCCUUAUCAAGAAUGCGUACCAGCCCAGCACAAAUAUAAAUAUCUAUGCCGAUAGCAAUCUCUUACGUUGUAUUUUGGUUGAAUGUUUGAUGUGGAUAUCUGCUUGGUUGUUUGUUGCAUCAUAAUCUGUCCCCAUAUACCCUUUUUGUUAGUGUUAUAAAACAAAGUUUGAUUCCCGUAGCAACGCACGGGCAUUCAACUAGUCAGACUUGAAAAAUGCAAACAAAGCAAGGACAUGCAUACUAGGCCAUAGUGUUGUCAAAAGCAAAAGGUAUUUGCAGCCCUGAAUCGCAAUAGCUUUCUCUUAAGUACGAAGGAACUGGAGCCUGGAGGCUCUGCACGAUGACAGGCAUUAGCGCUGGGAAAAGCGCAGAGUAUUUUAGCACAUGUGAACACUGCUCGUGAGCUCCCUCUGUUGCCGACCUGUACCGAAUCAUUGGUGCGCCCCCGAUUCAGUGCUCCACCUCCAUGUGGCCCAUCCAUCCCAAGGGCACCAAAGUUAUUUGCAGAUGACUCAGUCCACAUGGAUGCCUGGUCAGCACGAGGGAAAGCAAGUGACACUGCACUUGGCACUCCGAGAGGCUCCCCCAAGCUCUCAUCUCAUUCUGAGGACCGUGGAAGGACCAAAAGAUCUCUAGGACGGGCCUAACAGCACCUGAAAAAGAUCAAGCUGCCGGUCACUGCCUGAAUGUCUCCUCCCUGAUCUGUGCCGAACAAUGCUGCGCGACCGCCAUGUCGGUGCCGCCGAUCGGCAGAUGGCUAGGGAAGAGGAUCCGGUCUCCAGGCAAUCCAUGGCAGGGUCCCCCUAGCUCUGGCUGCCCUUGGGACAAAGGCACCAGCCUAAUUUUGUCGUCCCUGCCUGGCCUAAUUUGUCCUCCCAUUAUUAGGCAUUGGCUCCUUGCAUCAUGUGUUUUUUGCCUUCUUUAAAAGGCAGUUAGCUUCUGAAUAAUUGAGUUCUUUUAUUAGCUCACAACGAUUUACCGGUAGCUGUGCCUGUGAUGGGCAUUUCUAUCGGUUGAUCUUCAUCUUCCCCUUGUGGAUUGCUGGAUCAGAGGUGGCCAAGAGUCGCAGACUAGCUUCAUGACCAAGAUCGCCAUACGCAUUAGUCGUCAAAAGGCAUGCAAAACCCCACUCCAAAGGCAUUGACAGUGGCCUGCACUGUGCUGCACUUGUGUGGGGACUGGCUGAGAAAGCAACAUGGAAAGGGGAUCGGUCAUGGCUCGGUGCAAAUGUGAUGCAUCACGCUUUGGAGGAAAAAAAAGUGUAACACCUCAUGUGCUAAUCGCCAUAAUUAGAUUAAUUAGGGUCAUUAGUGCUAACUCACAUGACAAUCCACCAAACUAGAAUUUUUCCUGUCAGUUAGGGCCAGACCGGUCUGACCGGUGGAGUCAACCGGUCUGACCGGUUGAACCGAUGUCAACCGUUUUGAGCCCCACAACAUUUAAAUCACUCUCUCUCUUCCUCAUCAGUUCACUCCUCACCAUGCCAGCUCCCUCCCUCUCCCGAGCUCCCUCCUCCCCAAACCCUCACUCCCUAAUCUCUCACCUAAAUCCAUUUCAAGGCUUGGGGGAGCUUCAAAUCGGGGUCAAGGAUCAUCCUCUCCAUGUGCUCCUCCCCGGGGUGAUGUGGAAUCUCCAGUUUUUCGUGGGAGAGAAGCCAAUCAAGCCGCGGCGGAGGAGA